rnacentral:lncRNA from 1 species
GUUGGCUCUGUCGAUCGAUUCUUGUAUUUCCCUGUCGAUCGAUGCACGUCUGUCUACUUCAGUUAUUCGACUGAAGCGAGUUCCUUUCCCACAGGCUUCAGCUUGUUGUUGAUCUGCUUCAUCACGUCUUUGCAUGUUGAGAAGUUCCUCUCAUGUGAAACCCUCAUGUAGUUCAUCUGCUCCUGGCUCAUGAAUCGCCGUUUCCACUGCAUAGCUUUCAUGAUGGUGGUCAUCUUGCUCAACUUCCAAAUGAGUACUCUACUUCUCGUACAAGGUCUACUCCAGUGUCGAUCGAUGGGUAGUAGGCAAUG